GUUCGGGAUCGGGUUUAGGUUUAGGUUUUCAAGUUUAGGUUUAGGUUUAGGUUAGGGAGUUGAGAUUAGGAUUAGGUGUAGGUUUAGGUUUAGAGAUUUGAGAAUACAUUUAGGUUUUAGGUCAUAGGUUUUGGUUUAGGUUAAGGUUAUAGGUUUAGGUUUAGGUUAAGGUUUAGGUUUAGGUUAUAAGCUAUAGGUUUAGGGAAUUGAGAAUAGGUUAAGGUUUAGGUUUAGGAAAUCGGGUUCGGGUUUAGGUUUGGGUUUUCAAGUUUAAGUUUAGGUUUAGGUUAGGGAGUUGAGAUUAGGAUUAGGUGUAGGUUUAGGUUUAGAGAUUUGAGAAUACAUUUAGGUUUUAGGUCAUAGGUUUAGGUUUUAGGCUUAGGUUUAGGUUAUAAGUUUAGGUUUAGGUUAUAAGUAUAGGUUAUAGGUUUAGGUUUA